AGGACCUAGUGGCAGCUGUUCUCUAGGAAGCCUGACCUGGUCCGACUUUGAUCCCUCCUCAUCUGAGGAACCUUAAGUUUGGCAAAAUGGGACUUAGACUGGAGUCUAAGUUUGAGAAGAGUUCCAAGGAAGUGUUUGCUAUUCAGGAAAGAAGUGAAAAGAGUUGACUGAUGUCACAGAUCCUGCUGGUGUCCUGGCACCAAGUUUUCAUCUAGCCAUAUCUGCCCACCUACAGCAGCAAUGAGUGUUCUCUCCUAUUCAGUUGUUCCCAAGGGAUUGCUCUGGGUCAUAUGGAGACAGGAGUACCUGGGAGUUACACCUCCUAGCCUGGGAGUCCAUCUCCCUGUCUCCCCAUGAAAUCAAGAUUAUGGUACAUUGCUGCUCUGUGCUCUUCAAGGGUCUAGGCUGGAGCCUGACUAUAGCUGGCUUUGCUCCCCUCCCCUGCAGUCCCACCCCCAACACACUCACAUGCAUACGUUUCUUUCCUUGUCUCCUUCUCUCCAAUUAAAAACCCACAAUAAACCAAGAGCUUCCAAGACUUCAAA